AUACAUUCUUUAUCUGAGAAAAUAUCUCAUCAGGUUAGAUGAGUCAAAUAAAUAGUUUGAGGAAGUACUGAAGUGUGUCAUUGUAACAAAUAAUUUCAGUCCAAAUGGUGCCUAUGAACUAGAGGUUUAUUGUGAUUGCACUCUCUUGAUUUUGCUGUUCAUGUAAUAGGAAGUUUUCCUGUCUGGAGUUGUAAGAUGCUACUUUUGGAUUUGUCUUGAGAAAAUUCAGGCAUGUUUAGAACAUUGAAGAGUAAUUACUUUUUGAUUUCAUUUGAGAAUAUUCUGAUAUAUUUUGUAUAUUGAGGAGUGGUAAGUUGUAAAUUAUGUUUUCUCUGAAAUAUUAAAAAUAGUUGUUUGUAUUUUAUUUACU